GGUCAAGCUAGAAAGAGCGCAGGGUGGAUGCCUUGGCACUAAGAGCCGAUGAAAGACGUGAUAAGCUGCGAAAAGCUUCGGGGAGGAGCAAAUAUCCUUUGAUCCGGAGAUCUCUGAAUGGGGAAACCUGGCUGAGCAAUCCUCAGUCGUCGUAUGGUGAAUCCAUAGCCAUACGUCGGGAACCCGGUGAACUGAAACAUCUAAGUAGCCGGAGGAAAAGAAAGAAACAUCGAUUUCCAAAGUAGCGGCGAGCGAAAUGGAAGGAGCCUAAACCGCGGUGCGUGCACCGCGGGGUUAUGGACCGCGAUAAGUGAGGCGAUUCAUUAGUGGAACUGUCUGGGAAGUCAGGCCAGAGAGGGUGAAAGCCCCGUACACGAAAAUGAUAGCCAGCGAGC
rnacentral:ncRNA from 1 species